AAUGAACGCUGGCGGCGCGCCUAAUACAUGCAAGUCGAGCGAGAAGACGUAGCAAUACGUUUGUAAAGCGGCGAACGGGUGAGGAAUACAUGGGUAACCUACCCUCGAGUGGGGAAUAACUAGCCGAAGGUUAGCUAAUACCGCGUACGCUCCUUGGACUUCGGUUCAGGGAGGAAAGCGAUACCGUGGGUAUCGCGCUCUUGGUUGGGCUCAUGUCCUAUCAGCUUGUUGGUGAGGAACGGCUCACCAAGGCUUCGACGGGUAGCUGGUCUGAGAGGACGAUCAGCCACACUGGCACUGCGACACGGGCCAGACUCCUACGGGAGGCAGCAGUAAGGAAUAUUGCGCAAUGGGCGAAAGCCUGACGCAGCGACGCCGCGUGGGGGAGUGAA
rnacentral:rRNA from 1 species